rnacentral:rRNA from 1 species
UACGUAGGGCGCAAGCGUUGUCCGGAAUUAUUGGGCGUAAAGAGCUCGUAGGCGGUUUGUCGCGUCUGCUGUGAAAACCUGCGGCUCAACCGUGUGGUCUGCAGUCGAUACGGGCAGGCUGGAGUUCGGUAGGGGAGACUGGAAUUCCUGGUGUAGCGGUGAAAUGCGCAGAUAUCAGGAGGAACACCGGUGGCGAAGGCGGGUCUCUGGGCCGAUACUGACGCUGAGGAGCGAAAGCGUGGGGAGCGAACAGG